GAAGCUGUGGCUGCCCCCUCCCUGGCAGUGUUCAAGGCCAGCUGGAUGGGGCUUUGAGGAACCUGAUCUAUUGGCAGGUGCCCCUGCCCAUGGAAAGGGGGUUGGAACUAGAUGAUCUUUAAGGUCCCUUCCAACCCAAACCAUUCUAUGAUUCUAUUAAAUUCUAGCCUAUA